rnacentral:rRNA from 1 species
UACGAAGGGGGCUAGCGUUGCUCGGAAUCACUGGGCGUAAAGCGCACGUAGGCGGCCUUCUAAGUCAGGGGUGAAAUCCUGGAGCUCAACUCCAGAACUGCCUUUGAUACUGGAGAGCUUGAGUCCGGGAGAGGUGAGUGGAACUCCGAGUGUAGAGGUGAAAUUCGUAGAUAUUCGGAGGAACACCAGUGGCGAAGGCGGCUCACUGGCCCGGUACUGACGCUGAUGUGCGAAAGCGUGGGGAGCAAACAGG